rnacentral:tRNA from 1 species
AUACAAGUAGUUUUAUUUAAGAAUAGUAGUUUGUGGGGCUAAAGGUGCUUAUAAUUAAGUUUUGUAUA